GACGAACGCUGGCGGCGUGCUUAACACAUGCAAGUCGAACGGUAAGGCCCUUCGGGGUACACGAGUGGCGAACGGGUGAGUAACACGUGGGUGAUCUGCCCUGCACUUCGGGAUAAGCCUGGGAAACUGGGUCUAAUACCGGAUAGGACCACUGCCUGCAGGGGUGGUGGGGGAAAGCUUUUGCGGUGUGGGAUGGGCCCGCGGCCUAUCAGCUUGUUGGUGGGGUGAUGGCCUACCAAGGCGACGACGGGUAGCCGGCCUGAGAGGGUGACCGGCCACACUGGGACUGAGAUACGACCCAGACUACUACGGGAGGCAGCGGUGGGGAAUAUUGCACAAUGGGCGCAAGCCUGAUGCAGCGACGCCGCGUGAGGGAUGACGGCCUUCGGGUUGUAAACCUCUUUCAGCACCGACGAGGCGCAAGUGACGGUAGGUGCAGAAGAAGGACCGGCCAACUACGUGCCAGCCGCCGCGGUAA
rnacentral:rRNA from 1 species